rnacentral:misc_RNA from 1 species
AAACUGAUCUUUUUUUGGUUAAUUGAAAAAAAGUUUGCAAUGCUUACUUUUCAUCAUAAGAAGACAACUAUGGUGCUUCUAGUUAGGUUCUAGACCUAAUCCUUGACCUUGAAACCAAUUUUCUUCAAAUUGUACAUUCAAUUUUGAUUUAUAUGCUUACUCCAACUGAAGAAAGUGCCACGAACAUAUCUUGAGCACUAAUAAAU